rnacentral:rRNA from 1 species
CAGCAGCCGCGGGAAUACGUAGGGCGCAAGCGUUAUCCGGAAUUAUUGGGCGUAAAGAGCUCGUAGGCGGUUUGUCGCGUCUGCUGUGAAAUCCCGAGGCUCAACCUCGGGCCUGCAGUGGGUACGGGCAGACUAGAGUGCGGUAGGGGAGAUUGGAAUUCCUGGUGUAGCGGUGGAAUGCGCAGAUAUCAGGAGGAACACCGAUGGCGAAGGCAGAUCUCUGAGCCGUAACUGACGCUGAGGAGCGAAAGGGUGGGGAGCAAACAGGCCUAGAUACCCCGGUAGUCCCUGUCUCUUAUAC